GGCCCUGCGCGGCCGCGGGCGGCUGUGGCCGGCGGAGAGGCUGCGGGGGAGAGGAGCUCGGCGCUGCUGCCGCGGAGGCGGAGGGCGCAGGAAGGUGUGGACAUCCUCUGUACCUAGUAACAAUUACACUGGACACAUGGAAAAUUACGCAGUGAAAAUGCAAAUACCUUUACCUGUCUUGACGUGGCUUCUGGCAAUACCUUGCCCUGACAAUCACCUCCACUGACGUCUUCUGAAGGAGAACUUCUCUGGCCUUUCUCAGGCAGCAGUGGAAAUGGCUGUGCCGAGCUGUGAGCCUCUUCAGUCAACAGCAGACUUGCUUCCUGGUGAAGAUGUUGAUUCAAGUUUCUGUGCCCUAAUCUUUAAUUAAA